rnacentral:rRNA from 1 species
UACGUAGGGGGCAAGCGUUGUCCGGAAUUAUUGGGCGUAAAGAGCGUGUAGGCGGUCCGGUAAGUCAGCUGUGAAAGUCAAGGGCUCAACCCUUGAAUGCCGGUUGAUACUGUCGGGCUAGAGUCCGGGAGAGGCGAGUGGAAUUCCCGGUGUAGCGGUGAAAUGCGCAGAUAUCGGGAGGAACACCAAUGGCGAAGGCAGCUCGCUGGGACGGUACUGACGCUGAGACGCGAAAGCGUGGGGAGCAAACAGG